rnacentral:rRNA from 1 species
AGAUAUUCUAUAUAGAUGUACCUAUGUGGCGACACGACAGCGACCCCAACGACGUGUGCCGGUGAGAAUUUUCCGGGACACCCAGAUCUUAUGAGCGUCACGCUGAGACUAAGAACGAGUUGGGCGGUGAAAAUGAAGGAACAUCCUCGUACCGAACCGCAACAGGACUCCUAGGUGAGAAGCCUAAGGCAUAAUUGUAAUGUGAGCAAGGGAAAUCGGCAAAAUGGAUGAAAAACCUCGGGAUAAUCAUUGGCUCUAGCAUGCUAGAACUGGGCUUACAAGGGGAAUCUGACUGUUUAAUAAAAACAUAGCUUUGUGUGUACGCAAAGUGAAUUCUGCCCAGUGCUUGGGACGUUAAGGAAGUAAUUUUAAGUACGCACCUGUAAACGGCGGGAGUAACUAUGACUCUCUUAAGGUAGCCAAAUGCCUCGUCGCCUAAUUAGCGACGCGCAUGAAUGGAGCAACGAGAUUCCCACUGUCCCUGCUCACAGAUUUGCGAACCUACAGCCAAGGGAACGGGCUUGGGACAUGCAGCGGGGAAAGAAGACCCUGUUGAGCUUGACUCUAGCCAAGCACAGGCCUCUGUGACUAUAUCGUAGCGAGGUGGGAGAAAUGUGUGAGACCACUGACAUAGUCGGCGGGGGCACUCGCAAAGCUUGGUGGGGAGUUUGGCUGGGGCGGCACGACUACUAAAACAUAACGUAGACGUCCAAAGGUAAGCUCCGAGGGGAUGGAAACCACUCCGAGAGUAUAAGGGCAAAAGCUUGCUUUAG